AUAAACCCUUUCGAAAUACAAAUCAAGGAGAAUUGGCGCGCUUUCCAUCGCAGCAACAAAUCGGCAAACGAAUCCACAAGCCCUUUCAGAGAAUGGUUCUAGCAAAACGAAUCAUUUCCUGGCCGUCAAUUCCACCAUUUGUUCAUCGUCGGCGGCGGCGGCGGCGGCGGUGGAACUAGGGUUAAUCGACUGUCAUGUAAUCCGCUGCGGAGACCACACUUUCAUCCACGAUUAGCUUAUCCGGUGGUAAGAAUCGAAGUUAAUUUGUGUGUUUAUUGCCAUAUUGAAGUUUGAUUUGCUUAAAAAAAAGUACAUUUCUGAUAAUUAUGUUGAACCUGUAAUCUGUAAGCAAAUCAUCGCAAUCAACAGUUGACUUUCGACAAUGUGUAAACAAAAGCUUGAUCAAGUCUGUUGCUUCAUAGGGUGACACUACUAGGUUUAAUUAGGUUAAAAUAACCAAGUCAAUUUUUAAUAAUCAAGUCAAUCCCCUAUAUUACUUUCUCCCAUCCAAGGCUCUCAUCAGUUUCUGCUUCAUGUACUUGUGUUAACAUUUUAAAUCUUGUGAUAACUAGCAGCUUGAAUUCUUGUCAAUUGUUUAAUGUGAGAAUCUGAUGCAUGCCUAAU
rnacentral:lncRNA from 1 species